CAAAGCCUGCCAGUACCGAUACCCUGUAGCUCCGGGCUUUUGUUUGGUUUCUAAUAAUCAGAAGCUCGUUUCUACAGGUAUCUUACGGGUAAACGAAAGAA
rnacentral:pre_miRNA from 1 species